GACGAACGCUGGCGGCGUGCCUAAUACAUGCAAGUCGAACGAGUGGCGGACGGGUGAGUAAUGCCUAGGAAUCUGCCUGGUAGUGGGGGCUAACGUCCGGAAACGGGCGCUAAUACCGCAUACCAUCGGAUGUGCCCAGAUGGGAUUAGCUAGUAGGUGGGGUAAAGGCUCACUGAGGCGACGAUCCCUAGCUGGUCUGAGAGGAUGACCAGCCACACUGGAACUGAGAAACGGUCCAGACGCCUACGGGAGGCAGCAGUGGGGAAUAUUGCACAAUGGGCGCAAGCCUGAUGCAGCCAUGCCGCGUGUAUGAAGAAGGCCUUCGGGUUGUAAAGUACUUUCAGCGGGGAGGCGUUACCCGCAGAAGAAGCACCGGCUAACUCCGUGCCAGCCGCCGCGGUAAUAC
rnacentral:rRNA from 1 species